GAUGAACGCUGGCGGCGUGCUUAACACAUGCAAGUCGAACGAAGCAUUUAAGACAGAUUACUCCGGGUUGAAGUCUGUUAUGACUGAGUGGCGGACGGGUGAGUAACGCGUGGGUAACCUGCCUCAUACAGGGGGAUAGCAGCUGGAAACGGCUGGUAAUACCGCAUAAGGGCACAGUACCACAUGGUACAGUGGGAAAAACUCCGGCGGAAUGAGAUGGACCCGCGUCUGAUUAGCUUGUUGGCGGGGUAACGGCCCACCAAGGCGACGAUCAGUAGCCGAUCUGAGAGGGUGACCGGCCACAUUGGGACUGAGACACGGCCCAGACUCCUACGGGAGGCAGCAGUGGGGAAUAUUGCACAAUGGGGGAAAGUCUGAUGCAGCGACGCCGCGUGAGUGAAGAAGUAGUUAGCGAUGUAAAGCUCUUUUAGCCGGGAAGAUAGUGACGGUACCUGACUAAGAAGCUCCGGCUAACUACGUG
rnacentral:rRNA from 1 species